rnacentral:lncRNA from 1 species
GGCUCUUCCUCUGACGUAUGAAAUUGGCCCCCUUGUCGAUCAUCAAGCCUCCUCCACCCUGAAAGACAAGGUUGCCUCUGAGCAAACUGAUGCCGUGAUCAUGCCAAGCGGCAGUGGCGCCAAGGUGCCUAAGAGGAAAUGGGCAGGUGUGCUCUAUCAAAGACGACAUCGUUCUCACUCGCUUUCUUCUCUAAGCCGCCAUCGGAGCUCCCCCAGCACCGCGGAGGAAACUCCUGAAGCGGCACAAACCAAACAUUUCUCCCGCGACUUCCGCUCAAAGCGUAGGUCGUGUGGACACCAGUUCGUCCCCACCGGCCGUUGUCGUGACCACGCGAACUUUGCCCGCUCAUUCUCCUCCUUCACUGCCUGCCAUCUCGUCUGUGCCCGGAGCCGACAAGUUGGCCGAGGCAUGCUGCCUACUCGAAAUGGGCACCCGCGAGAUGCUCGCCAGGAUCGAACGACUUGGGAAAGUUGCUUCGUCCUCGGAUGGGUGCGUCGUGCAAUUGGAGAGCCAGCUCGCGGAGGCAUGCGAGGACCUUCAGAAGAUGAAGGACCUUGUCGCAGGCCACGAGCAACAACGACAGGGACUGGAGACACGGAUGGUGGAGACGAAGGGCAACGGGCAACCCCCGUCCCCAGCGGGCAACGGGCAGUCCCCUCUCGUACCUAGGUGAAUCCGG